rnacentral:lncRNA from 1 species
CUAACCUCCUUGAUAAACCCGGUGGAACAAUUAACAUUUGUAGCUCUUUCUUACAUCAAUCUUUCGAUACCAAGUUAUAUAACAUGGCGAAGUGGUAGCUAACACAUGUGAAGUAAACAAUCAGAUUGUAGACUAUCUACUAAAAGAAGGCUACGUUUUAAAGGCUUUUCUAAUUUUACAGCAGUUUUAAAUUAUCUAGACCAGUGUUAGCACAUGUAUUGUCACGAACAAUCGCUUCUAAGUUUAAUAAAUGUUUAACAAAGGACACGAAGGCCACUAAAACUGAGUAUACAUUAACAAAUUUUUUUACUGAAAUGUUAAAUUGUAUCAAGUGCUGGACAAGUUAGACCAAAAUUGUAUUAACUUGAACAGAGCAGUAUAGCAAGACAUUUCUUAAACAUCAAGACAGACGAUGCAGUGAUCAUCAGUGAUGGAGUGAAAUAUUUGUAUUAGGAUGCGAAGAAAUUACAAACGAAUAUCAAGUCAGUUAGAGCCUAAUGCUCAUGCAAUUAAAGCUGCUAUGGCAACCCUUUGAAUCUGAUAGUUAUUCACUCUGAGCAAUAUAUAGCAGUAUAAUAUUUUAAAUCAAAUUAACUGCGGAAAAUGAGUUUCAAUAAACUGGUCACUUUGCUUAUUAUUCGACAAACAACCUUUGUCACCUUAUAAAAGCAGGAGGAAAAAUGUUAGAGAAAAUACAAAAAAUGUUAUGGUCAGAAUUAUGGAGCAUCAUGUGAAGCCUAGGUUCAAUAUGAAAAGCAAAAUUUGUGGUGAUAUAAAGAAGGUAUCGUUCGAAGAUAAAAAGUUGUGUAAAGCAAUAAUUUUGAAGUCAUCCAGCGCGAGAGUUCGACGAAAACAAACAACAGAUCAAAUAGAAAGCGUUUUAAAGUUCUCUCCAUUGAACAAUUAUUUAUUUUUGAGUUUUUUUGUAAAUUUAUAAUACAAAAGAAUAUAUAAUACAUCUUUAAAAAAAAUCUUUA